rnacentral:lncRNA from 1 species
GUUUCCAACACCAAGAACCCAAAUAAACACCCUUAUUUUGUUUAGUAUUUCAAGACAAACUGUACUCAUAAAAGACAGAGUGUCCUUGGAAGUCACAAUGUAUAAAUACUUCUAAUAAUAGAAGAAAUUAAUGUCAAGACAGCCAAUAGCAUAAAAAGCCUCGAUGCAAGCAUGCCUGUCAAAGGGCAUCUGUAUUAGCAGCUCAGGGAAGUGGCAUUUGCAGAAAAGCACAACUGUGUUCAAAAGAAAAUCAUUAGGCCUCAGUCGUUAGUCCCCUCCCCCACCCUCUUCCUUGGGAUCCUUCAUAGCAAUGAACCAAUAGGAGGUCCUAUUCUGCAACCCAUACUUUCGCGCCAGCCUCCAUCCUUGGUCCGGGGCUGGGUUUAACCCAGGUGUACUCUUCUCAGCCUAUUCCCUGCCCAGUGUUCCAGGAAGCCUCUACAUUAGCCCCCAAAGCAGAGGGCCAGAUCUUUCCUCAUAAUCCCUACUUACAAAACAAUACAAAAAACAUAGAUAGCUCAACAGCUAGCAUACCUGGCUAUCAAACCUUCUGACCACGAAUACAAACAUUCCAGCCACAACUACAAACUAAUACACAAUAUAAACAUACAUACACUUCACCAACCAUCAACCUCAAAUACAAUCUCUAUUAUCUUGCCUGAGACAAUCUACUUCCACCUAGAAAAGACAACCCUGGCCACAUUCACUACCCUAAGAGUCAACUGAACAAAUCACUGUUCCCAACAAAGUCAGGGGCAAAGAGGAAUACGAAAGCUGACAUAUAAUGAGGGCUUUUACCUUUAAAUACACAAAAAAGAAAGAAAAAACAUAGGCAAACUUGCUACUUUAAAAGCUCAGGUGAACACAAAUGCUCUAGUGAGACUGUCAGGCCCAGUUCAACUCACCUCCCUCCAGUCCAUUUUCAGAUGAAAAUCAGUCAUGCGAACCUGGGGUUAGUGGUUUCGGCGGUGCCAAGAGGCUGCAGCACAUCAGGUGGAAGGAGAGCUUUGUCCUUACUUGAAGAUGGUUUGACUUAAGACAUGUUGUUGCCACGUUCACAGGUGUGGUGGCGUUGGGAUGUAACUGGAGCUCUGCUAGUCAAAUACUAAUCCAGGUAUUUCCGGGAACGUAUUUUGCAGGCAUAAUUAAAGCUCGUAUCUGUUCCGACAGGUUAUCUCG